UGUGCACACUAUUAAAACCAGGCACUAAUGUCGGUGUUUAGGUGUCGGAAGUGUGCUAGAGUGAGUGGGCUAGGUUUUCGCUGACACCAUGAGGAUUGUUGUCCUAUGACUGGGGUUAGAUAGUGACCUGAGCCACAAUC